CCGGUCGAACGCAGCGCGGCGAGUUGUUCCGAUACUGCCGCUAUCGGAGCCGGCUUGCCGUUCGCUUCGGCGACGAAUGGG
rnacentral:tRNA from 1 species